UUAAGUGACAAUUUUAGAUCUCAAAUUUUAAAUUGUCGCAAUUUUUGGCUUAAAGUCAAAUUUUAUUUUAUCGCAAUUUUUAGCUUAAACUUUCAGACAAGUCCUACGAUCCAAUUUAGUUGACUAUAUAUUCAUGCAUCGCUGAUGAAAAAACAAAUAUAGCAUCUUAAUUAUUGGCACAUUAUUAGUCACACUAACUUUAGCGUUAAAUCAAUAUUUAGCUAACUAAAUUAGGCUAUAGGGCUUGAUUGUAAUACAAUUUAAAAUUUGAACAAAAAUUACAACAAAUUAAAGUUUGAGGAUAAAAAAAUCAUACACUUUAUGGUUUGAGGACCAAAUAAGCAAUAUACCCUUAUGAUGAUUAUUAUUAUUAUUAUUAUUAUUUGAGGUGUGGUCACCAUUCAUUGUAACUUAGCAAUAUUUAACAUGAAAUAAUAAGCUUCAAUCUAAUAUAGAUCCUCUUCUCACAUGGUACACUACCACAUUCUUAGUAUCUCCUCAGUGCACAUGGCUCUCCAGCUCAUUGGCCCCCCUUGCUUAUGACAAAAAUAUAUAUAAAAAUAUAAAAUAUAAAAUUAAUAUAUAUACAGUCCAACUACUAUUCUUUUAGGAGGGCGGAGGCCUUCGUCCUUCUAAGUCGUUUUAGAUAAUAGAAAUUCUGAAUUGAUUAUCAGAACCGUUAAAGUUGGUUUAGAGUAUUUAUAACGUGUAGGAACUAAAUUUUAUAAAUUUUAAGUUAAGUUCAUUGAAGAGUCGAAAAAUAAACGGUAAAAAAUGAAUAACCUUGUGAAAAUAGAUGUUGGACUUUUUCAAUCCAUGGUCGAAAUUAUCAAAUGCUAUCUAAAAAGUAUAAAGAAUUUUCUAUCAAAAAUUCAAACUGUUUGGAUUAUUCUACGUCGUUAAACUAGCUGUCACGCCCGGGUACCAGCGGAAGCAUAUCCGGCACGUGCACAGACCCGCCAUACACCUGCAGUAUAUAAGGCGUCUACAAGCAACAAAUCGAUAGAAAGUAAAACAAAGGAAGUUCUAUCCUGAUAUCAGAGCAAUGUACAAGUCGAUAUAUAUAUCAACAAAAGAACAAAGAGUGAACAAUCCCAAAAUCUCGACAGAAGAGAAGUAUCACAACUAUAGUGACGGUCCAAAAAAUACAUAUACAUCACGGGGUAAACAAAAGAAUAGGUACAACGGUGGUCUCUCUAUACAUAGGGACAUCACCCUCGGCCGUAGCCCGAGUAGCAAGGUGAUCGACUAGCACGCUCCUAGUAGUCCCUAGCUAGGCGCGACUCCCUUGCCACGAUCCCUAGCCUCUCCUGUAACAGGCUCUGUAAAAACAACCACCAAAAGGGUGUGAGAACUAUUAACAAUAGUUCCCAGUGGGUAAGCCGCCAG
rnacentral:lncRNA from 1 species